CCGCGCCCGACUCUGUUGGUUCUUUAAGACGGAGUCUACCUCUGACACCUAGGCUGGAGUGCAGUGGCAUGAUCUCGGCUCACUGCAACCUCCGCCUCCCAGGUUCAAGCGAUUCUCCUGCCUCAGCCUCCUGAGUAGCUGGGAUUACAGACGCCUGCCACCACGCCCAGCUGAUUUUUGUAUUUUUAGUAGAGACGGGGUUUCACUGUGUUGGCCAGGUUGGUCUCGAACUCCAGACCUCGUAAUCCGCCUGCCUCAGCCUCCGAAAGUACUGGGAUUACAAGUGCGAGCCACCACACCCGGCCUGCAUUCACUAAUUUUCUAAUUUGGAUCAAUUGUAUUCCUGGGAUAAACCCUACUUAUGAUUUAAAACAAAACGCACUAUUGAAUUCAGGUAGCUAAUAUUUUAUUAGAAUUUUUGCAUCUAUAUUCAUAAGUCCAGUGGGUCUAUAAAUUUACUGUUUAGUAUUUUCCUUAUCUGGUUUUAGAAUCAAAACUAUUUUAGCCUCAUAAAAUGAGGUGUAUGGCUUUUUCUCUUUUCCUAUCUUCUGGAACAAUUUGUAUAAGAUGGGAAUUACAGUUCCUUGAAAGUUUAAUAGAACUAUAAUCUGCAAAACCGUCUGGGGCUGGGCCUGAGGCUGUUUAUUACAAUAAGAUGGGGUAUCUUUGAUUAUCAUUUUAAUUUUUCCUAAAAUUUAUUGUAUAUUCAAGUUAUAUUCAAGCUUUCUAUUUCUUUUUGCAUUCAUUUGAACACAUUUUAAUGUUUCCUGAAAUUUUUGUUUUUCAUCUAUGUUUUCAAGUGUAUUAGCUUACAAUUUGUAGCCUUUUUGUAUCUAUAAUUUUCCUUUGUUAUGCAUUUUGCAUUGCAUUGUUUUAAAUCAGUCUUGGCAAAGGUCUAUCAUUAUUAAUUAUUUUCAAAGUACCAGCUUUUUUUUUUUUUUUUGAGAAGUCUCGCUUUGUCACCCAGGCUGGAGUGCAAUCUCAGCCCACUACAACCUCUGCCUCCCAGGUUCAAAUGAUUCUCCUGCCUCAGCCUCCCGAGUAGAUGGGAUUACAGGUAUGCGCCACCACACCCGGCUAAUUUUGUAUUUUUAGGAGACGAGGUUUCUCCAUAUUGGUC
rnacentral:lncRNA from 1 species